UGCUCUUGAACGAGGAAUCCCUAGUAAGUACAAGUCAUUAGCUUGUGCUGAUUACGUCCCUGCCCUUUGUACACACCGCCCGUCGCUACUACCGAUUGAAUGGCUUAGUGAGGCCUUCGGAUCGAAGUUCGGAAGCUGGCAACAGCAUCCGUCCUUUGAAAAGUUGGUCAAACUUGGUCAUUUAGAGGAAGUAAAAGUCGUAACAAGGUUUCCGUAGGUGAACCUGCGGAAGGAUCAUUAUUGAUUUUAGCUAACCUGGCUAUUUUUAGCCAUGGUUAUGCGAAAUUUUGUAUUUAAAACCCCACUCUUUAUAAUAAAAAAUCAUUAUUAUUUAUGAUAAAAUUUAAGAUCACUUUCAACAACGGAUCUCUUGGUUCUCGCAUCGAUGAAGAACGUAGCGAAGUGCGAUAUGUAAUGUGAAUUGCAGAAUUCCGUGAAUCAUCGAAUCUUUGAACGCAAAUUGCACUCUCUUCGGGGAGUAUGCCUGUUUGAGGGUCAUUUUAAUAACAAUCGGAGUAUUGCUUUUUUGAGUAAUGCAUCGGAGUUGAGUUAUCUUAACUUUUAGGUUAAGUGACUUAAAAUUGAUUUAUUUUGUAUUUAGACGUACUUAGAAUUAUUUUUAUUGCGUCUUUUAAUGCAAAUACCUACUAGGUAUGACCUAUAUUUAAAGGUAUUUCAUAUCUAUAAUUUUUCAAUAAUUGACCUCAAAUCAGGUAAGAAUACCCGCUGAACUUAAGCAUAUCAAUAAGCGGAGGAAAAGAAAAUAACAAUGAUUCCUUUAGUAACUGCGAGUGAAGAGGGAAAAGCUCAAAUUUUAAAUCUGUUAGGUUUACCUGACCGAGUUGUAAUUUGAAGAAGCGUUUUCUGCGAUUUUGGUUAGUCCAAAUCCUUUGGAACAGGGUAUCAUGGAGGGUGAGAAUCCCGUUUGAUUAACCAAAGCGCUUUACGAUACGCUUUCAAAGAGUCAAGUUGUUUGGGAUUGCAGCUUAAAAUGGGAGGUAAAUUUCUCCUAAGGCUAAAUAUUGGCGAGAGACCGAUAGCGAACAAGUACCGUGAGGGAAAGAUGAAAAGAACUUUGAAAAGAGAGUUAAACAGUACGUGAAAUUGUUGAAAGGGAAACGAUUAAAGUCAGUCGUACCUACGAGUAAUCAACCUACACGAGCGCGAUUUUGUGGGUAUGAGGAGUUAAAACCUUCAUGCUUGCUAAUUGGUGUUCUUUGGGCGUACUUUCUCGUAUGGUAGGUUAACAUCAAUUUCGAUCGUUAUAAAAUGACGGGAGGAAUGUAGCUUCGACUUCGGUUGAAGUGUUAUAGCCUCUGGUAGAUGUAAUGAUUGAGAUUGAGGAUUGCAACGGAUACCCUCUGGGCUAUUCGUCUGAUCUCUGGAAGUUACCUUGGUGUCGAAAGCGUGCUUAUGACAUUAAGAAUGACGGCCAAAAGGUUAGAACGGAAUUAAAUUCGUUAAGGAUGUUGACGUAAUGGCUUUAAACGACCCGUCUUGAAACACGGACCAAGGAGUCUAACAUAUAUGCGAGUGUU
rnacentral:sRNA from 1 species